AACUCUACAACAAAGCUGAUACAGUGAGCAGAGAGUGUGUGUGUGUGUGUGUGUGUGUGUGUGUGUGUGUGCAGUGACACUCCGGUAUAUAGAACGUCCUUAAAUUCAGGGAGACAACUGGGGCAGCAGAACCUUGGACAUACAGUCGGUCAUGGAGUUUGUCUGGGAUUUAACAGUUUGUAUGUGGCGGGGGACAUUUUCACACCAGAUCCACACUGAUGCAUUAAUGCAGCAUCCAGCGACCUGCUGGGAAGUUUAUCUUCUCCACUAGCAGCUCCUGCUUCCAUGCUCUCAUUAAACGGUGCUGACGCAGGCCACCCCAGGGCAUUGAUUAUAUUUCUGUAGACGUAAGAAGAGUGAGGGACAGCACGUGGGUGGAGGAGAGGAACGGUUCAAUAAGGCCGAGGGCAGAGCGGUGAUGGGGUUUCCCCUUUGAAAACUGGAAGACACCACGCAGGUGCACCAUCAGCAUCCUCCAUCAAAGAGCGGCGUCUGAAGGGGCCUUGUGGCACUCUUAAACCACGCGCUCUGACUCAUGUUUCCUAUUCUACUCUAUACUAUAAAACACCUAUAUACAAAGAA